rnacentral:pre_miRNA from 1 species
UGGUAGCAGUUGGAUUUCGUAUUUCUUUGGUAGGAUGUUGGGCCAACAAUACUACCAAGGAAAUAGAUAUCCAGCCGCUACUGUC